rnacentral:rRNA from 1 species
UACGUAGGGGGCUAGCGUUGUCCGGAAUCAUUGGGCGUAAAGCGCGUGUAGGCGGUCCGGUAAGUCCGCUGUGAAAGUCGGGGGCUCAACCCUCGGAUGCCGGUGGAUACUGUCGGGCUUGAGUACGGGAGAGGCGAGUGGAAUUCCUGGUGUAGCGGUGAAAUGUGCAGAUAUCAGGAGGAACACCAAUUGCGAAGGCAGCUCGCUGGAACGUUACUGACGCUGAGACGCGAAAGCGUGGGGAGCAAACAGG